rnacentral:rRNA from 1 species
AUUGAACGCUGGCGGAAUGCUUUACACAUGCAAGUCGAGCGGCAGCGCGGGGGCAACCCUGGCGGCGAGCGGCGAACGGGUGAGUAAUACAUCGGAACGUGUCCUUAAGUGGGGGAUAGCUCGGCGAAAGCCGGAUUAAUACCGCAUAAGCUCUGAGGAGGAAAGCGGGGGCUCCGUAAGGACCUCGCGCUGUUGGAGCGGCCGAUGUCGGAUUAGCUAGUUGGUGGGGUAAAGGCCCACCAAGGCGACGAUCCGUAGCUGGUCUGAGAGGAUGAUCAGCCACACUGGAACUGAGACACGGUCCAGACUCCUACGGGAGGCAGCAGUGGGGAAUUUUGGACAAUGGGGGCAACCCCUGAUCCAGCCAUUCCGCGUGAGUGAAGAAGGCC